GGAGAGGUGUCCGAGUGGCUGAAGGAGCACGCUUGGAAAGCGUGUGGCCGAGCAAUCGGCCCGUGGGUUCGAAUCCCACCCUCUCCGCCA
rnacentral:tRNA from 1 species